UAUUUGCUGGGGCUUUCCCUCUGCCCCACAGCUGGGGUUGUACCAGCCACUUAGCAGUCAGGAAAGCCAAGCUAUGGACAGGGCUGGGGCAUUUUAAGAGCAGUGCAAUCAGUUCUUAUAUUGAAAUAGAUCCAAAUUAAGAGCUAGGAAAGCCUGCAUUCUUGGUGCAAUGCUGAUUGUCAGGAAGGACUCCUUGUUCCACUGCCAGGAUUAGUGCUGGCAUCGCUCCUGCCUCGGUCUGAAUGCCCUCCUCUGAGUGCGUCUCGGUCCUUUCCGGGAAGGCUGCACAUGGAGGUGGACAGGCAUCGAUUUCAUGGCCAAGAGGAGGGAGAUGUGGCCACGUGCAUCACAGGCGAGAGCCUGGAAGGGGCCCGGCAUCAACUUUCUGCAUACCUGAGAGGCUCAGGACACUGCUCUGAGGUCCUGAGUGAUGCCUCCAGCAUGGCUUCAGGCUGCUGAACACAGCCACAAAAAUUAUACCCUGUAAUUCCAGAUGGGGGGCAAACCUCAUAAAAAGGAAUUUUUUGUCUGGUGUCAUAAGGAAAUAAGGCUUCAAUCAUCUUUCUUUCCCUCACUACCUGUCCCACUGAUGACUUUGGGGUUGUUGGAUAAAUUUCACGAAUCAGAGGGACACAGGUGCCAAGGAUAAUGUAAUUCUUAAAAAAAUAGAUGUCCAAGCAUCAGAAAUUUAGUCUAUCAAUAUCCCCUCUGAGGAAGAGGCUGCAGCAUCAGCAAAACUUCCUGAGGUCUCGGGACAUAGGCGUGGGCACUGGAUGUGGGAAUGGCUCCAGCACUGGAGUUGCUGGUAGGAGCUGGUGACAUAUCAGCAGUGAUUCCAGCAGGGCUGGCCUCACAAGCAUUGUGUCCCGCAUCGGGACACCCAGCCCCAGUGGUACACACAGAAUAAGCCAGGUUUGGCUGCCACAGCAGGGCUUCUGGCUGUUUGCACCUCGAUCUUUGCUGACAGCACCUUUCCCUGCCUGUCCUUUGGGCCAACAGCAGUCCAACACCAUGAGACCCCUUUCUUUGACAAACUACCUAAUGUUCAUCCUUCCCUCUGCUUCCUAGUGGGGCCAUCUGUCUUCCUGCACGCUGGAGAUUUUCUUGGAGGCAAUAGCCUGCGUGCAGCCUCGGGAGCAGGACAAGUGCUAGCAGGCACGUACCUU